UUCAAAAUCUACGAACGUAAUCGCUUACGUAAUCAAUAGGAACGAGUCAGACUGAAAAAUAACUUAAUAAGAAAGUAUUGAAUCCGUCAAAAACUGAGGGUACCGAUCUUUUAUUUCAAUCACGUAUCGAUCAAGGAGCAAAGCUUAUAACUUUGAAAAUUCUGAAGGUACUAACAUAGAUGUUCAUACUUCAUAGUUUCACAUCGAAGGUCAGGAUGACAAAAAUUUACAAUAAAACGUUAUGUACUAGCACUUUAAAUUGUGUGACAUUUUACACAACUAUAUGUAGUAGUUAAAUCACAAUACAUACAAUAC
rnacentral:lncRNA from 1 species